rnacentral:rRNA from 1 species
AGGACGAACGCUGGCGGCGUGCUUAACACAUGCAAGUCGAGCGGAAAGGCUCCUUUCGGGGGGUACUCGAGCGGCGAACGGGUGAGUAACACGUGAGUAACCUGCCCUAGGCUUUGGGAUAACCCUCGGAAACGGGGGCUAAUACUGGAUAUUCCCGCGGGAUCGCAUGGUUUUGUGGGGAAAGGUUUUCCGGCUUGGGAUGGGCUCGCGGCCUAUCAGCUUGUUGGUGGGGUGAUGGCCUACCGAAGGCGACGACGGGUAG